rnacentral:lncRNA from 1 species
GGGUCUGUUACUCUAAGUAAGUAUCACAAUUAUAUGUCAGACAAUCGCAAUAAAGAAACUUUUUUUGCAUUUGUAGUUAGAAAUUGCGUUGUGAAAGUAUACAUAAAUUAAAUGGAGUAGGCUACUGUCCUGGCAGAUUACUUUUGUGUCAAUGAAAUAAAAGUCCAUAUUUUUUUUUAUAUUUUCUUAAACCACAUUUUCAAACUUUCCAAUGAACCAACAUUUGCUUACCAGACAUUCGAAUUGAAGAAGAUAUUUAACUUUAUAUUUUGAUUUAGAGAUGAUUCCAACAAAAUGUUUAACGUAUUGGGCUACUGUCUUGGCAGAAUUUUUUUUAACUUUG